UAGGGUGUUUCCAGAAAACGCACUUGCACUGCGUAAGUCAAAACAUUUCCUUUACAGUUGACAAAGAAAGCAUUUAAGUAAUAUUGCCUUCCUUGUAAAAAUGCAGUCUCAUCACAUUCUUUGGACAACAUUAUACUAGGAAGAAUUAUUUCGAUCUGUAAUAAUUAAAACGUUUUUUGACUGAACAUAUUUCAACAUUCGUAACUGAUCACUGUACGGGCAGGUAGUGACAGGUGGUGUAGUGUGUGCUGUAAUGAAUAUACCGAAGCAGAAGUUUCCAGGAUUAGCCGUUAUAUUCCGAAUAAAUUGAGUUGUUAUUUGUUUCACUUUACAUAGAUUUGUGAGCGCGUGUUAUUUAUUAUUUAAUAUUCUUGAAAGUUUUUAUAAUCGUUCACGGGUGGCGUAUACAAUGAAAGCAGUUUGGUACUAAUGGACAUUUUAUAGAAGUAGUGCAAAUGAUAUUCUGACGUGAAACUGGAGUAAAUGCACGGUUUAUUUUAUUCACGGUGUGUUGAUUAUUAAAAGUGCUGCAUCUGUUUUAAUUAGACGUUGCUCAUUAUGUCGACAGUGGACGCCGAAGACAAAUUCAACUACACAAUUCGUGUAAGGUUCCUAAAAUGGCGCCUGUGUUCUCUCAGUGUUCAGUUCAGACCUGCGGAUAUUAUGUCGGGGAAUUCAAGAUACUCAGUGACUGGAUUUUGUGUCAGGUGAUGGACUUCGGUGUUUCAUAACAGUACGUGACCUUGUGGACUACUCAUGGAGUAGGCUGAUUUUCCUUCGCCUUGAAGAUGGUUUGGAAUCUUCUAAUCGACUGUUUGAUCCAGUUAGGAAAUCCGGUCGUAUUUAAUAUCUCGGUGACCACUACCACAUUAUCUCUUCAAGGGCAUGCAGGUCAUCCGUGAUCUUCGUUUACUUGUCAGAAUUUGGUGCAGGUUAUGUGGGGAGACCAGUGUGGCAGAACGACUUCGUCUCAGUCAGUACGCAAGCAAAAGCAAUAGCAAUAUUAUUGUAACUUUUCCUAUUUUGCGAGGCUGUUGACUUGGUUUGCUAUAUUGCAGUCUCCUGUCCCACUCAUGCCAGGAGACAUUUCUCCAUGUUGUUCUCAUUCAUUGGCAUCUAUCACCUUCUCCUACUUUUCCCCUCUCCUAGCAGUGUUACCCCACUCCUUUCUCUUUAUUCGUAGAUCAGUGUACGAUUCUGUACUUUCUAACAGACAACAGCGUUGCAGCACAGAAGGAAGAAGAUUAAAUCUAACUAAAUACAGCCCAAUUAUAUAGGAUUUGAGACUUUCGCGGCGAGUACAAUCUAUAAAAUCUUC